rnacentral:lncRNA from 1 species
AAUACAUUUACGCUUCCAUUACGUUACUUUGAUUCUUCCUCAUUCUUUGAGGAAUUUAUCCUUUAGUAUUUCUCAAAUACUUAAGGACUCACUUGACAGUUGCCAUGGUUCUGAUCCUGGGCUUGCACUGAUAUCGUCUUGUACCGUUCUUGGUACAACUCAUAUCAAUGUUUUUCAUACAAUAUGAAAUACAUAAAUCACCUUUCUGCGUAUGCAUAAAGGAUUCAAUUUACGCAUUAUUUCUUUGGGAGUCAAAGGGUACAUUCCCUUUGAGAAGGGCAACUUGCUAGUCUCACUAGAAUCGUCCUUCAUAUUGAAGUUUAUCAUCAUAUGAGAAACUUCCUAGCAUCCAUUGUCUAUUAUUAGGGAUUGAUAUAAUCCAAUUAUAUCAUGAAAUAUAUCAUUAUAGAUUUCCAUCCCUUGUAUAUAGAUUAUAUCUCCCAUAUACAUUCUAUCAUUUAUAGAAUGCUUAAAGUCAUAACUUUAACGAAGAAGUAUUCUUUUCAUUUCCAAAAUUAAUAUAUCAUAUAUAUUUAAAUUUUAGGAACAUGAUUAACUCCCACUAAUCUUUUGUAAAACUAGUAAACAAAAGAUUCAUUUACAUCUUUAUGAGAAAUCAAACGAUUUGAUCAUUUUUCUCAUAAAAUGCAAAUAGCUCCCACUAACUUGCUAAGAUCCAUGAUGGAUGGAUCUCUACAACUUACAUG